rnacentral:tRNA from 1 species
GUCAGGAUGGCGGCGGCGGUCUAAGGCGCUGCGUUAAGGUCGCAGUCUCCUCUGGAGGCGUGGGUUCAAAUCCCACUUCUGACA